rnacentral:pre_miRNA from 12 species
AUUUUCAUCACCUAGGGAUCUUGUUAAAAGGCAGAUUCUGAUUUAGGGACCAAGAUUCUGCAUUUUUAGCAAGUUCCCAAGUGAUGCUAGC